AUUACAUUUCAUAAAUAUUUACACUCAAUUCUUGUCAAACAAGAAAUAUUCGUUAUAAUUAAUAUAUGUUUUAUAUUUUUACAAGGCUGAGAAGUACGUAACGGUGUUCCGCACAGGAGCUGGACCAACGGUCGCUGAGUGUGCCAGUCAGCUUAGCACUGAACCUG